CCUACGGGUGGCUGCAGUGGGGAAUAUUGCGCAAUGGGCGGAAGCCUGACGCAGCGACGCCGCGUGGGGGAUGACGGCCUUCGGGUUGUAAACCUCUUUCGCCAGGGACGAAGCUUUCGGGUGACGGUACCUGGAUAAGAAGCACCGGCCAACUACGUGCCAGCAGCCGCGGUAACACGUAGGGUGCGAGCGUUGUCCGGAAUUAUUGGGCGUAAAGAGCUCGUAGGCGGUGUGUCGCGUCGGCCGUGAAAACCUUCAGCUUAACUGGGGGCUUG
rnacentral:rRNA from 1 species